AUCGCUUCUCGGCCUUUUGGCUAUGAUCAAGUGUAGUAUACAGUACUUAUGUGUGCAAGGCACUGUCCCAAGCAUUUAACUUAUAUGGAUCUUUUGAAUUUUUUUUUUUUUAAGGGGCCAGGGAUUUAGCUCAGUGGUUCCACCACCUGCCUCGAAUUCUCUCUCU
rnacentral:snRNA from 1 species